rnacentral:lncRNA from 1 species
CACAACCCAUAACUGAAAACAGCAUAACAACAGACUGCAUGUCCCCGAGCAUAACAACAGAAGUAAUGCUGCAGCAAACCCCGAGCAGCCACCCCACACAGCAACAUGACCAAUGGCCAGCCUCAUACUGACUGCAUAACAGCAACCCGGACCAGCAAUGUUACAGCAGCGGGCGCCUAUGCAAUCAGCAGUAACAAACCCACCAUAUUGAAGUAUUGAAGUAUAAAGCAUUAAGGAAUU